rnacentral:rRNA from 1 species
UACGGAGGGUGCGAGCGUUGUCCGGAAUCACUGGGCGUAAAGAGCUCGUAGGCGGUUUGUCGCGUCUGCUGUGAAAACUGGGGGCUCAACCCCCAGCCUGCAGUGGGUACGGGCAGACUAGAGUGCGGUAGGGGAGAUUGGAAUUCCUGGUGUAGCGGUGGAAUGCGCAGAUAUCAGGAGGAAUACCGAUGGCGAAGGCAGGUCUCUGGGCUGACACUGACGCUCAUGCACGAAAGCGUGGGAGCGAA